CGAUAGCUCAGUCGGUAGAGCGACGGACUGUUAAUCCGCAGGUCCCUGGUUCGAGCCCAGGUCG
rnacentral:tRNA from 4 species